rnacentral:rRNA from 2 species
CAAGAGUGAACCACCUGAUCCCUUCCCGAACUCAGAAGUGAAACCUCUUAGCGCUGAUGGUAGUGUGGGGUUACCCAUGUGAGAGUAAGUCAUCGCCAGCU